rnacentral:rRNA from 1 species
UACGAAGGGGGCUAGCGUUGUUCGGAAUCACUGGGCGUAAAGCGCACGUAGGCGGAUCUUUAAGUCAGAGGUGAAAUCCCAAGGCUCAACCUUGGAACUGCCUUUGAUACUGGGGAUCUUGAGUCCGGGAGAGGUGAGUGGAACUGCGAGUGUAGAGGUGAAAUUCGUAGAUAUUCGCAAGAACACCAGUGGCGAAGGCGGCUCACUGGCCCGGUACUGACGCUGAGGCACGAAAGCGUGGGGAGCAAACAGG